GACGAGCGCUGGCGGCGUACUUAACACAUGCAAGUCGAACGGAAAGGCCCUGCUUUUGUGGGGUGCUCGAGUGGCGAACGGGUGAGUAACACGUGAGUAACCUGCCCUUGACUUUGGGAUAACUUCAGGAAACUGGGGCUAAUACCGGAUAGGAGCUCCUGCUGCAUGGUGGGGGUUGGAAAGUUUCGGCGGUUGGGGAUGGACUCGCGGCUUAUCAGCUUGUUGGUGGGGUAGUGGCUUACCAAGGCUUUGACGGGUAGCCGGCCUGAGAGGGUGACCGGCCACAUUGGGACUGAGAUACGGCCCAGACUCCUACGGGAGGCAGCAGUGGGGAAUAUUGCACAAUGGGCGGAAGCCUGAUGCAGCAACGCCGCGUGCGGGAUGACGGCCUUCGGGUUGUAAACCGCUUUCGCCUGUGACGAAGCGUGAGUGACGGUAAUGGGUAAAGAAGCACCGGCUAACUACGUG
rnacentral:rRNA from 1 species